UACGGAGGGGGCUAGCGUUGUUCGGAAUUACUGGGCGUAAAGCGUACGUAGGCGGCUUUGUAAGUUAGAGGUGAAAGCCCGGGGCUCAACCCCGGAAUUGCCUUUAAGACUGCAUCGCUUGAAUCGCGGAGAGGUGAGUGGAAUUCCGAGUGUAGAGGUGAAAUUCGUAGAUAUUCGGAAGAACACCAGUGGCGAAGGCGGCUCACUGGACGCGUAUUGACGCUGAGGUACGAAAGCGUGGGGAGCAAACAGG
rnacentral:rRNA from 2 species